rnacentral:SRP_RNA from 1 species
GCCGGACGCGGUGGCGCGCGCCUGUAGUCCCAGCUACCCGGGAGGCUGAGGCAGGAGGAUCGCUUGAGUCCAGGAGUUCUGGGCUGUAGUGCGCUAUGCCUAUCGGGUGUCCGCACUAAGUUCGGCAUCAAUAUGGUGACCUCCCGGGAGCGGGGGACCACCAGGUUGCCUAAGGAGGGGUGAACCGGCCCAGGUCGGAAACGGAGCAGGUCAAAACUCCCGUGCUGAUCAGUAGUGGGAUCGCGCCUGUGAAUAGCCACUGCACUCCAGCCUGGGCAACAUAGCGAGACCCCGUCUCUU